GUCUUUUUGAUUAUAAUUUAAGGUUUGAUCUGCUCAAUGAAAAUUUAAAUAGCCGCAGUAUUUUGUCUGUGCAAAGGUAGCAUAAUAAUUAGUUUCUUAAUUAGUAACUUGUAUGAAUGAUCGGACAAGAAAAUUUCUGUCUCUUAUUAAUUUUUUGUGAAUUUAAUUUUUAAGUUAAAAUGCUUAAAUUUUUAUAAAAGACGAGAAGACCCCAUAGAGUUUUAUUUUCAUAAUUUUUUAGUAUAAUUAUUUAAAUUGUAAAAUUAGUUGGGGUGACUUAAAGAUUUAAUAAACUCUUUAAAUUUAAAUCAUUGAUUUAUGAAUUGUUAGUCUAAUUUUUUAAGUUUAAAUUAAAUUACCUUGGGGAUAACAGCGUAAUUUCUUUUGAGAGUUCUUAUCAAAUGAGAAGAUUGCGACCUCGAUGUUGGAUUAAAAUUUAUUUUAGGUGUAGAAGCUUAAAAAUUAAGUCUGUUCGACUUUUAAAAUUUU
rnacentral:rRNA from 1 species